rnacentral:lncRNA from 1 species
UCCUAUGCACCUGUAUGUUCUAAAGUGUGGGUAUUAUAGCUUUGGAAGUAGGUUGAGGCCUAAAGGUUUGCAGACUUUGCUAUACCUUCAAGAAAAGUGGAGGACAGUAAGUAGCCGAGUCCACCCGAUUGAGCCUAACUGCCCAAUGAACACACACCUCAAGUUCAAGUUCAAGUUCAAGUUCAAGUGCUUUAUUUGUCACAUACACGAACAUGUAGUGAAAUGUAUAAUCCAAUGGCCAAGUUGAUGAUGAAACAUCACCCUCCCAAACCCCCACGAUAAAAUGACUUAUAUAGACACACCAACAAACCAAGUCUUCACUCCACUGAGCAAGUGUGUCUUGCAGCCGUCUUUGGAGGUGAGUAUUUACAGCUGUAGAAGCUAUGUGUCUGUUGCAGGUAUAUUCAUCUGGUUGGUCUCGUAACCCUGUUUUUGCUCACUGAAGAUGAUGACUGUUGGGAUAUAACACCUGACUGUUGGAAAUUAAUUUAUCAGAUUUCUUUUCAACCAGAUUUAGAAAUUGACGAUAAACGUUAAGCUGGCCUACUUUAGAGAUUAAAUCACAAUUGGCAAAUUAUGUAAUGAUUAUCACACUGGUAAACAAUAAACAUUUUGGAAUUUAAAUUUGUAGUUAGGUUUAGGAAUUUGAUGUUUUGGAGUCAACUGCACUUGUUUAUGUUUGCACCCUUUUGUUGUCAUGUUUGUCUUUUUAGAGGAAAAGAAGACCUAAAGCAUGGAACGAAAACUCCUUCUGGUUAUUGUGCUCUUUCUUGUGGUUGGUGAGCUGGUUGGACAGUCAUCUGCAGAUAACGGUGUUAUCCUGUCUGAACUGUCUAAUGCCCCAGCAGGUGAGAGUGAGAGUUGCACAUUUUACUACAAAAACUAUUUGAAAUGUGAAACAAAGGACAUUGUUGGGUGUUUUUGCCCCUACAUACUUGUGUUUAUUCUUAUCUUUAUUCAUCCUUUUAUUUCAAAGCCAUUAGCUGUCAUCUUAAUGUUCAUUACCUUUCCUCACACUCAUUACUAUAACCUCUCCAUCAUAAUUCACUUUUUGUCACGUACAUACUGAAGGUGAUACAAUGUGACUUUUAAUUUAACUAAUUUCACUUGAUACAAUUUUAGACUAAUUUUGGUUAUUAAUUACAUUAGUAUAUGAACAUAUAAAAGGAGCAGGGGUUCUGACACCAAGAGCAGAGAAGCAGCGCUAUUAACCCCCUGCUUGUUCUCAUUCCACAUGCAGAGGCACAGGAGGACGCAGCCUAUGAGGAGCACCCACGUGCAAAGCGUGGCCAUGGAAGCCCCAGAAGAGAGAGGAUAAAAGCAGGGCUAAAAAAAUUUGGCAAAGGAUUAGGCGAUUUUGUCCUUAAAGGGAUUCGUGUUGCGGUCGGAUAAAUGGAGAAAACAGCACCAAACAAAUACUCUGACAAAGUCAUAAUAAUGAAAUGUCUUACUUGCUUCUCUGUAAAAAAGAAUAAAAAAAAAAUAAAACAAAGAUAUUCA